CGGGAGGCAGCAGUGAGGAAUAUUGGACAAUGGACGAAAGUCUGAUCCAGCUAUGCCGCGUGCAGGAUGACGGCCCUAUGGGUUGUAAACUGCUUUUAUACAGGAAGAAAAACUCCGACGUGUCGGAACUUGACGGUACUGUAAGAAUAAGGAUCGGCUAACUCCGUGCCAGCAGCCGCGGUAAUACGGAGGAUCCAAGCGUUAUCCGGAAUCAUUGGGUUUAAAGGGUCCGUAGGCGGUUUUUUAAGUCAGAGGUGAAAUCCUGCAGCUCAACUGUAGAAUUGCCUUUGAUACUGAAAGACUUGAGUUAUUGUGAAGUGGUUAGAAUGUGUGGUGUAGCGGUGAAAUGCAUAGAUAUCACACAGAAUACCAAUUGCGAAGGCAGAUCACUAACAAUAUACUGACGCUCAGGGACGAAAGCGUGGGUAGCGAACAGGAUUAGAUACCCUGGUAGUCCACGCCGUAAACGAUGGAUACUAGCUGUAUGUCUACUUCAGGUAGAUGUGUGGCUAAGCGAAAGUGAUAAGUAUCCCACCUGGGGAGUACGAUCGCAAGAUUGAAACUCAAAGGAAUUG
rnacentral:rRNA from 1 species